GGGACUAAUUGGAUAACCCUCCAAGUUAAUAUUAGUCUUAGUAAUUAAAUAUGACUAUACAUAUUGUAUCGUGACAUACCGAUAAUUUGAUUGCUUUCCCUUUCUCGCUUUCUCCUUUUCCUCUUUCCAUCAUUGUAAUUUUCCUUCCCUUCCGUUCAAUUUCUCAAGAUCUGAUGUAUAAAGUAUACAUAAUACCUAAUCAGGAGAAAGAAGAAGAAGAAGAAGGAGUAAUAAUACAAAGGAUCUAAUGAAAUUAAAGAAGCAUAAAAAAGUCAUAGCAGGAAACAUUUUUGCAGCUAUAACCAUACAUAAAAAUUCAGUUAAAUAAACUUCCUUUAGCUGAUCAAGACUAAGAUCAUGGUUGGCUAUCCUUUUUAAUAGAUAUUGAAGAUGAACAAUCUGAGAUAUACGGCUUGAGAAUGAGGCAAGAGAGAGUAUGGAAUGGUUGCUCCUCUUGUUUUUG
rnacentral:lncRNA from 1 species